UCGAGUUACUACCGCAAUGUCGCUUAAGUUAGUUGUUUUACUUUUUCUGCUAAUCAAAGUAGAAAGACUUAAAUAGAAUGAAGAAAAUAAUCUAAAAGGCAUCAAUGUAUUAUCACAUUAUUAUAAAUGUUUUAAGGAUUCAAGCAAAUAUUAAUAAUCAUAAAUUUAUCCAGUUACAGAAGUCAGGACAAUGAUGAAAUCAGAACCUAUUUUCAUGAAAUGAAAAAUGGCUUCAAAAAAGAAAUCUCCUGAAUCUAAGAGAGAGUUAUUGGAAUUUAAAAA